rnacentral:rRNA from 1 species
ACGCUGGCGGCAGGCCUAACACAUGCAAGUCGAGCGGUAGAGAGAAGCUUGCUUCUCUUGAGAGCGGCGGACGGGUGAGUAAUGCCUAGGAGUCUGCCUGGUAGUGGGGGAUAACGUUCGGAAACGGACGCUAAUACCGCAUACGUCCUACGGGAGAAAGCAGGGGACCUUCGGGCCUUGCGCUAUCAGAUGAGCCUAGGUCGGAUUAGCUAGUUGGUGAGGUAAUGGCUCACCAAGGCGACGAUCCGUAACUGGUCUGAGAGGAUGAUCAGUCACACUGGAACUGAGACACGGUCCAGACUCCUACGGGAGGCAGCAGUGGGGAAUAUUGGACAAUGGGCGAAAGCCUGAUCCAGCCAUGCCGCGUGUGUGAAGAAGGUCUUCGGAUUGUAAAGCACUUUAAGUUGGGAGGAAGGGCAGUUACCUAAUACGUGAUUGUUUUGACGUUACCGACAGAAUAAGCACCGGCUAACUCUGUGCCAGCAGCCGCGGUAAUACAGAGGGUGCAAGCGUUAAUCGGAAUUACUGGGCGUAAAGCGCGCGUAGGUGGUUUGUUAAGUUGGAUGUGAAAUCCCCGGGCUCAACCUGGGAACUGCAUUCAAAACUGACUGACUAGAGUAUGGUAGAGGGUGGUGGAAUUUCCUGUGUAGCGGUGAAAUGCGUAGAUAUAGGAAGGAACACCAGUGGCGAAGGCGACCACCUGGACUGAUACUGACACUGAGGUGCGAAAGCGUGGGAGCAAAC